rnacentral:rRNA from 1 species
GGAAUAUUGGUCAAUGGGUGCAAGCCUGAACCAGCCAUCCCGCGUGAAGGACGACUGCCCUAUGGGUUGUAAACUUCUUUUGUAUAGGGAUAAACCUACCCUCGUGAGGGUAGCUGAAGGUACUAUACGAAUAAGCACCGGCUAACUCCGUGCCAGCAGCCGCGGUAAUACGGAGGGUGCAAGCGUUAUCCGGAUUUAUUGGGUUUAAAGGGUGCGUAGGCGGGCAUGUAAGUCAGUGGUGAAAUACCGGAGCUUAACUUCGGAACUGCAAUGGAUACUAUAUGUCUUGAAUAUUGUGGAGGUAAGCGGAAUAUGUCAUGUAGCGGUGAAAUGCAUAGAUAUGACAUAGAACACCUAUUGCGGAGGCAGCUUGCUACGCAAAUAUUGACGCUGAGGCACGAAAGCGUGGGGAACAAACA